UGUUGUUUUUUUCUUUCUUCUUCUU
rnacentral:sRNA from 1 species